rnacentral:rRNA from 1 species
UGGGGAAUUUUCCGCAAUGGGCGAAAGCCUGACGGAGCAAUGCCGCGUGGAGGUGGAAGGCCUACGGGUCGUCAACUUCUUUUCUCGGAGAAGAAACAAUGACGGUAUCUGAGGAAUAAGCAUCGGCUAACUCUGUGCCG